rnacentral:sRNA from 1 species
ACUUCAAUACGGCCUAAACUUGGGAAUACUCAAGUACGGAGGAACCAAUCUUUUGGGGUUAAUCUUGCGCAAUCGCGCGGGAGGGAUGAGGAAGUCACUUCUCUGCCAUCCUACCCGUCAGCUAACUUCGUCGGCUAAAGCAGGGAAGGUCA